GCAGAGCUCUACGGCGAGCCUCGGCAGGCAUGGUCACAGCAGAAAAGGCCCAGUCACGGCGAUUUAAAUCUAAGGUAACUCGGACCGAGGGCACCACCGAGUGCUACACAGACGGCUCUUCACGGGGCUGCACUCUGUUCCUGUCAGUGACAUCUGGUGGCUUGGCAUCGGCCCAGGUACAGUGUUGCUGAAACUGUGUCAUUUUGCUACAAUGAGCACCAAGCUGCGCCGAGCGUCGUAAAGGUUGCGUUGAGACAAAGUUUAUUGUUCUGUUCCUCCACACAUCGAGGGAGUUGUUUGCCCGAUAGUCUUGUAAAGUUUUCUAAAUAGCUGCAGAUCAGCUUGCCUCUACUUCUUUGUGCCAGCGCAGUGCACGUGGUAAACAGGGUCCUCAUACUAGUCAUUUUUGUAUCUGUGGCAGUUUCUCAACCAGAGAAAGUCCAACGCGACGCUACGACUUGGGACAUGUCCGAGAGUAGAACUCAUUCUGACUGUGUUGGAAAACUUGUGAUCUUUUUAUUCUCAGUCAAUUCUCAGUCUGUGCUACCACCUUAUCAAAAGCUCGGGGUUGCACUUGUUUUACCAUGGGCACACUUUUCUCUAUUUGGUAGUUUCGUGUGACGACAUCACCACGUGAUGCCAUCUUAUGUGAUGUCAAAAUUAUACUGUCAACUGCUGAUUUUUCGGACCCUCUAGGGAGCUAAAAUCGUACGAAAAUUCGGGCAGUCCGAAAAAAAUGAAUGCUAGCUAAAAAAACGCACCAUUCCAUUGAUGUUUCUCGGAUCAAGAGGGUCGAGGUCGAAGUACACCAGACUUCCGGAACUCUGCCAAAGCAUCAGUGAGGUGGCUCUGAAAAGAGCCGUUAAAAUAAUGCAUGCAGCCGACAGCGGGUGCCGUCAGUGCAGCCGGUGCUAGAGCUGCAGUGGCUUGAAAAACUUGUUGA